UGCAAUUCUGAUAGCAAAAAAAUGUGUCUCUUUUUAUUCCUAUAUAUAUCAACAACUACAAAAUGAAUUAAUUAAUCAGAUGGUAAAUUAAAUACAAUAAAACAAAUUAUUAAAAUUCAGAAAACUGCCGCUGUACUUUCCCUCUUUACAUAUGCAUGGCGGCAGCGAAAACCCAAGCAGCCACGGAUCCCGCGAAGGAGAACCUGUUUAAAACGGCACCGUUGGGUGCAGGAGCUUCUGUGGGGGAUCCCGAGACCGAAGAAGGGGGAGAGGUGGCCGGAGAUUCAGGAGAAGACGAUGGGGGAGAAGGUGGAGCGUCUGCGACCGGAGAUGUAGAAGGAGCAGCCGAGGGUGGAGUGCCAGAAGGAGCAGCCGAGGGUGGAGUGCCCGAAGGAGAAGGUGAGGUACUCAAAGGAGAAGGUGAAGCAGCGGGUGGAGUGCUUAAAGGAGAAGGAGCGGAGGCGGGUGGAGUGCUCAAAGGAGAAGGGGCAGAGGCUGGGGACUUGGCUGGGGAAGAUGCAGGGGAUUGUGCCCUUGUUGAGGCCACCAAGAGGGCAGCCAUUAGCACCAAAACGACGGCGUUGGAUUGAGCCAUUGUAGAAGAGCGAAUGAAGACAGAGAAAGUGAUGGGGUUUAAGAGGCAGGCAGAUGAAGAUUAAGA
rnacentral:lncRNA from 1 species